CUGCUCACUGCGGCAGCACAUAUACUAAAACUGGAAUGAUACUGAGAUUAGCAUGGCCCCCGGCCAAGGAUGACAGGCAAAUUCAUGAAUCGUUCCAUUAAAAA
rnacentral:snRNA from 1 species